GAUGAACGCUAGCGGCAGGCUUAACACAUGCAAGUCGAGGGGUAACAGGGUUGCUUGCAACCGCUGACGACCGGCGCACGGGUGCGUAACGCGUAUAGAACCUACCUUAUACUGGGGGAUAGCCCAGAGAAAUUUGGAUUAAUACCCCAUAAUAUACUAUUGUUACCUAACGAUUGUAUUAAAGAUUUAUCGGUAUAAGAUGGCUAUGCGUCCUAUUAGCUAGUUGGUAUGGUAACGGCAUACCAAGGCUACGAUAGGUAGGGGUCCUGAGAGGGAGAUCCCCCACACUGGUACUGAGACACGGACCAGACUCCUACGGGAGGCAGCAGUGAGGAAUAUUGGACAAUGGUGGGAACACUGAUCCAGCCAUGCCGCGUGCAGGAAGACUGCCCUAUGGGUUGUAAACUGCUUUUAUAUAGGAAGAAACAUUUCUACGAGUAGAGAUUUGACGGUACUAUAAGAAUAAGCAUCGGCUAACUCCG
rnacentral:rRNA from 1 species